rnacentral:rRNA from 1 species
AGCAGCCGCGGUAAUUCCAGCUCCAAUAGCGUAUAUUAAAGUUGUUGCAGUUAAAAAGCUCGUAGUUGAAUUUCGGGAUCAAGGAAUCGGUCAUGCCUCGGUAUGUACUGGUUUUAUUGGUUCUCACCUUCUAAAGAACCAUAAUGUCAUUCAUUUGAUGUUAUGGGGAAUUAGGACUGUUACCUUGAAAAAAUUAGAGUGUUUAAAGCAGGCUUACGCUUGAAUACAUUAGCAUGGAAUAAUGAAAUAGGACAUCAGAUUCUAUUUUGUUGGUUUCUAGGAUCGAUGUAAUGAUUAAUAGGGAUAGUUGGGGGCAUUAGUAUUCAAUUGUCAGAGGUGAAAUUCUUGGAUUUUAUUGAAGACUAACUACUGCGAAAGCAUUUGCCAAGGAUGUUUUCAUUAAUCAAGAACGAAAGUUAGGGGAUCGAAGACGAUCAGAUACCGUCGUAGUCUUAAACCNUAAAACCUAUAGCCGACUAGGGAUCGGAUGAUGUUAAUUUUAUAAUGACUCAUUC